AUGGGUCCCAAAUCACCCCAUAGAUCCCAGCCCCACAUCUGUGAGUCCCACAGCCCCCCACAGAUCCCAGCCCCACAUCUGUGGGUCCCGACCCACAUCCAUGGGUCCCACACCCCCCCCAGAUCCCAGCCCCNNNNNNNNNNNNNNUCUAUGGGUCCCACGUCGCCCCACAGAUCCCAGCCCCACAUCUGUGGGUCCCGCCCCACAUCUCCCCACAGAUCCCAGCCCCACAUCUAUGGGUCCCACAUCACCCCACAGAUCCCAGCCCCACAUCUCUGGGUCCCAGCUCCACAUCUGUGCCCCACACCCUCCAACAGAUCCCAGCCCCACAUCUGUGGGUCCCAACCCCAUAUCUGUGGGUAUCACCCCACAUCACCCCCCAGAUCCCAGCCCCACAUCUGUGGGUCUGCCCCACAUCUAUGGGUCCCAAAUCACCCCAUAGAUCCCAGCCCCACAUCUGUGGGUCCCACACCUCCCCACAGAUCGCAGCCCCACAUCUGUGGAUCCCAGCCCCACAUCUAUGGGUCCCACCCACCCCCCCACACACCUCAGCCCCACAUCUAUGGGUCCCACCCCCCCACACAGAUCGCAGCCCCACAUCUGUGGGUCCCAACCCACAUCCAUGGGUCCCACACCCCCCCCAGAUCCCAGCCCCACAUCUAUGGGUCCCACCCCAAAUCUGUGGGUCCCACAUCUCCCCACAGAUCCCAGCCCCACAUCUGUGGGUCCCACCCCAAAUCUAUGGGUCCCACAUCUCCCCACAGAUCGCAGCCCCACAUCUGUGGGUCCCACCCCACAUCUAUGGGUCCCACAACCCCCCCGAUCCCAGCCCCACAUCUGUGGGUCCCACCCCACAUCUAUGCGCCCCAUGCCACCCCACAGAUCCCAGCCCCACAUCUAUGGGUCCCAGCCCCACAUCUGUGGGUCCCACAUCACCCCAUAGAUCGCAGCCCCACAUCUGUGGGUCCCGCCCCAGAUCUCCCCACAAAUCCCAGCCCCACAUCUGUGCCCCACAUCACCCCCCAGAUCCCAGCCCCACAUAUGUGGGUCCUGCCCCACAUCUCUGUGUCCCACAUCUCCCCACAGAUCCCAGCCCCACAUCUGUGGGUCUGCCCCACAUCUAUGGGUCCCAAAUCACCCCAUAGAUCCCAGCCCCACAUCUGUGCCCCACACCACCCCAUAGACCCCACAUCUAUGGGUCCCAGCCCAAAUCUAUGGGUCCCAAAUCACCCCACAGAUCCCAGCCCCACAUCUAUGGGUCCCACCCCCGCCCCAGAUCACAGCCCCACAUCUAUGGGUCCCCUCCCCCCACAGAUCCCAGCCCCACACCUAUGGGUCCCAGCCCCACAUCUAUGGGUCCCACCCCCGCCCCAGAUCGCAGCCCCACAUCUAUGGGUCCCAGCCCCACAUCUGUGCCCCACACCACCC
rnacentral:lncRNA from 1 species